rnacentral:rRNA from 1 species
ACGAACGCUGGCGGCGCGCUUAACACAUGCAAGUCGAGCGAGAACGGGUCCUUCGGGGCCUCAGUAAAGCGGCGCACGGGUGAGUAACACGUGGGUAACCUACUCUGAGGUGGGGAAUAACUGCCCGAAAGGGCAGCUAAUUCCGCAUAAGACCACGGGGGCUCCGGCUCCAGGGGUCAAAGGGGGCGAUCUUCGGGUCGUUCUCGCCGCAGGAUGGGCCCGCGGCCCAUUAGCUAGUUGGUAGGGUAAUGGCCUACCAAGGCGACGAUGGGUAGCUGGUCUGAGAGGAUGAUCAGCCACACUGGAACUGAGACACGGUCCAGACUCCUACGGGAGGCAGCAGUGGGGAAUCUUGCGCAAUGGGCGAAAGCCUGACGCAGCGACGCCGCGUGGGUGACGAAGGCCUUCGGGUCGUAAAGCCCUGUUAAGGGGGAAGAAUGGCCGGUGGGAAAUCCAUCGGACUGACGGUACCCCUGAAGGAAGCACUGGCUAACUCCGUGCCAGCAGCCGCGGUAAUACGGGGAGUGCAAGCGUUGUUCGGAAUUAUUGGGCGUAAAGCGCGUGUAGGCGGCCUAGAAAGUCCGGAGUGAAAGCCUUUGGCUCAACUGGGGAAGUGCUUUGGAAACUGCCAGGCUUGAGUUUUGGAGGGGUGGGUGGAAUUCCCAGUGUAGAGGUGAAAUUCGUAGAUAUUGGGAGGAACACCAGUGGCGAAGGCGGCCCGUUGGACAGUGACUGACGCUGAGACGCGAAAGCGUGGGGAGCAAACAGGAUUAGAUAUUUUGGUAGUCUACGCCGUAAACGAUGGGUACUAGAUGUCGCGGGUAUCGAUUUUUGCGGUGUCGUAGCUAACGCGUUAAGUACUUUGUUUGGGGAGUACGGCCGCAAGGUUAAAACUCAAAGGAAUUGACGGGGGUUUGCAUAAGUGGUGGAGCAUGUGGUUUAAUUCGAUGCAACGCGUAGAACCUUAUUCAGGCUUGACAUGCCAGGAACCCGUCCGAAAAGGUGGGGUGCCCUUCGGGGAAUCUGGACAUAGGUGUUGCAUGGUUGUUGUCAGCUCGUGUCGUGAGAUGUUGGGUUAAGUCCCGCAACGAGCGUAACUUUUGUUUUUAGUUGCCAUCAUUCAGUUGGGCACUCUAGGGAGAUUGCCGGUGUUAAACCGGAGGAAGGUGGGGAUGACGUCAAGUCCUCAUGGUUUUUAUGUUUGGGGUUAUACAUGCGUUAUAAUGGUCGGUACAAUGUGUUGCCAACCCGUGAGGGGGAGCUAACCACAAAAAACCGACCUCAGUUCGGAUUGGAGUCUGCAACUCGACUCCAUGAAGUCGGAAUCGCUAGUAAUCGGAGAUCAGCGCGUUUUGGUGAAUACGUUCCCGGGUUUUGUACACAUUGUUUGUCACAUUAUGGGAGUUACUUGCACUGGAAGUCGCCGUGUUAAUUGCAAGGGGGUAGGCGUCGAUGGUGUGGGUGGCGACUGGGGUG